CGUGUAGGCGGGAAUUUAAGUCAGAUGUGAAAGCCCAUGGCUCAACUGUGGGACUGCAUCUGAAACUAAGUUUCUUGAGUGCUGGAGAGGAAAGCGGAAUUCCUAGUGUAGCGGUGAAAUGCGUAGAUAUUAGGAGGAACACCAGUGGCGAAGGCGGCUUUCUGGACAGUAACUGACGCUGAGGCGCGAAAGUGUGGGGAGCAAACAGGAUUAGAUACCCUGGUAGUCCACACUGUAAACGAUGGAUAUUAGGUGUAGGAGGUAUCGACCCCUUCUGUGCCGCAGUUAACACAAUAAGUAUCCCACCUGGGGAGUACGGCCGCAAGGUUGAA
rnacentral:rRNA from 1 species